rnacentral:rRNA from 1 species
AUUGAACGCUGGCGGCAGGCCUAACACAUGCAAGUCGAACGAGUGGCGGACGGGUGAGUAAUGUCUGGGAAACUGCCUGAUGGAGGGGGAUAACUACUGGAAACGGUAGCUAAUACCGCAUACUAUCAGAUGUGCCCAGAUGGGUUUAGCUAGUUGGUGGGGUAAAGGCUAACCGAGGCGACGAUCCCUAGCUGGUCUGAGAGGAUGACCAGCCACACUGGAACUGAGACACGGUCCAGACUCCUACGGGAGGCAGCAGUGGGGAAUAUUGGACAAUGGGCGAAAGCCUGAGACAGCCAUGCCGCGGGUGUGAAGAGGGCCUUCGGGUUGUAAAGUACUUUCAGCGGGGAGGCGUUACCCACAGAAGAAGCACCGGCUAACUCCGUGCCAGCCGCCGCGGUAAUAC